rnacentral:rRNA from 1 species
UACGUAGGGUGCAAGCGUUAAUCGGAAUUACUGGGCGUAAAGCGUGCGCAGGCGGUUUUGUAAGUCAGAUGUGAAAUCCCCGGGCUUAACCUGGGAACUGCGUUUGAAACUACAAGGCUAGAGUGUGGCAGAGGGGGGUGGAAUUCCACGUGUAGCAGUGAAAUGCGUAGAGAUGUGGAGGAACACCGAUGGCGAAGGCAGCCCCUGGGUUAACAACUGACGCUCAGGCACGAAAGCGUGGGGAGCAAACAGG